rnacentral:rRNA from 1 species
GACGAACGCUGGCGGCGUGCCUAAUACAUGCCAGUUGAGCGCUGAAGGUUGGUACUUGUACCAACUGGAUGAGCAGCGAACGGGUGAGUAACGCGUGGGGAAUCUGCCUUUGAGCGGGGGACAACAUUUGGAAACGAAUGCUAAUACCGCAUAAAAACUUUAAACACAAGUUUUAAGUUUGAAAGAUGCAAUUGCAUCACUCAAAGAUGAUCCCGCGUUGUAUUAGCUAGUUGGUGAGGUAAAGGCUCACCAAGGCGAUGAUACAUAGCCGACCUGAGAGGGUGAUCAGCCACAUUGGGACUGAGACACGGCCCAAACUCCUACGGGAGGCAGCAGUAGGGAAUCUUCGGCAAUGGACGAAAGUCUGACCGAGCAACGCCGCGUGAGUGAAGAAGGUUUUCGGAUCGUAAAACUCUGUUGGUAGAGAAGAACGUUGGUGAGAGUGGAAAGCUCAUCAAGUGACGGUAACUACCCAGAAAGGGACGGCUAACUACGUG